rnacentral:rRNA from 1 species
CCCUUAGAUGUCCUGGGCUGCACGCGCGCUACACUGAUGUGUCCAGUAAGCACCUAACCUCUUCCGAAAGGAACGGGUAACCUUUGCAAAGCACAUCGUGAUGGGGAUAGAUUAUUGCAAUUAUUAGUCUUGAACGAGGAAUUCCUAGUAAGCACAAGUCAUCAGCUUGUGUUGAUUACGUCCCUGCCCUUUGUACACACCGCCCGUCGCACCUACCGAUUGAAUGGUCCGGUGAAAUCUUCGGAUUGAGACUUUGAUUUCUUCACGGAAAACGCUGUUUUAAGAAGUUGAUUAAACCUUACCAUUUAGAGGAAGGUGAAGUCGUAACA